ensembl:lncRNA
AUGUGGUCCAGCGGGUGGAGACGGAUAGGUUUAGGGGUGGAAAUGUGGUCCAGCGGGUGGAGACGGGUAGGUUUAGCGGUGGAAAUGUGGUCCAGGGGGUGGAGAUGGAUAGGUUUAGGGGUGGAAAUGUGGUCCAGGGGGUGGAGACGGGUAGUUUAGGGGUGGAGAUGGAAUCCAGGGGCUGGAGACGGGGAGGUUUAGCGGUGGAGAUGAGAUCCAGGGGGUGGAGACGGGUAGGUUUAGGGGUGGAAAUGUGGUCCAGCGGGUGGAGGCGGGUAGGUUUAGGGAUGGAAAUGUGGUCCAGGGGGUGGAGACGGGUAGGGUUAGGGGUGGAAAUGUGGUCCAGCAGAUGGACACGGGUAGGUUUAGGGGUGGAGAUGGGAUACAGGGGGUGGAGACGGGUAGGUUUAGGGGUGGAAAUGUGGUCCAGCGGGUGGAGACGGGUAGGUUUAGGGGUGGAAAUGUGGUCCAGCAGAUGGACACGGGUAGGUUUAGGGUGGAGAUGGGAUCCAGGGGGUGGAGACGGGUAGGGUUAGGGGUGGAAAUGUGGUCCAGCAGAUGGACACGGGUAGGAUUAGGGUGGAGAUGGGAUCCAGGGGGUGGAGACGGGUAGGGUUAGGGGUGGAAAUGUGGUCCAGGGGGUGGAGGUGGGUAGGUUUAGCGGUGGAAAUGUGGUCCAGGGGGUUCAGACGGGCAGGUUUAGUGGUGGAAAUGUGGUCCAGCGGGUGGAGGUGGGUAGGUUUAGCGGUGGAAAUGUGGUCCAGGGGGUGGAGACGGAUAGUUUAGAGGGUGAAUAUGUGGUCCAGGGGGUGGAGACGGGUAGGUUUAGGGGUGGAAAUGGGGUCCAGGGGGUGGGGAGGGGUAGGUUUAGGGGUGGAAAUGUGGUCCGGGGGGUGGACACGGGUAGGUUUAGUGGUGGAGAUGAGAUCCAGGGGUGGAGAAGGCUAGGUUUAGGGAUAUGUAAAGUGGGAGGAUUUGGAUCUCGAGUUGGAGUUGGUGCACCACAGUAAUACCGGUGUACUUACAUGGUAUCUCCUCAGGAACUGUCCACUUAAUAUAAAGUGUAACAUUCUGGACACCAACCACAAUUUAUAUGUAAAGCCUAACUUACUGGCUGCUGCUGUGUAACAUCAGAGUAAUUACAUGAUAGAUCUAAUAUAAAGUGUAACACUUUCUUUACCAAAAAGUCCGGUUAGUCCUGUUACACGUUUGUACUUUCAUUACCAAAAAGUGUUGUUACCAGUGUCCUGUUACACAUUUGUACUUAAUACCAUUCAGUGGGUUGUUACAUGUGUGUAGUUACACAAACAUAAUAGCUGUAGAUACUAUGUACCAAUGUGUACUUACAC